rnacentral:rRNA from 1 species
UACGUAGGGAGCGAGCGUUGUCCGGAAUCAUUGGGCGUAAAGAGCAUGUAGGUGGAUCAAUUAGUCUGCUGUGAAAGUCAAAGGCUCAACCUUUGAAAGCCGGUGGAAACUGUCAAGCUUGAGUCCGGAAGAGGCGAGUGGAAUUCCUGGUGUAGCGGUGAAAUGCGCAGAUAUCAGGAGGAACACCAAUGGCGAAGGCAGCUCGCUGGGACGGUACUGACGCUGAGACGCGAAAGCGUGGGGAGCAAACAGG